UGCCUACGGGACGCAGCAGUGAGGAAUAUUGGUCAAUGGGCGGGAGCCUGAACCAGCCAAGUCGCGUGAGGGAAGACGGUCCUAUGGAUUGUAAACCUCUUUAGGCGGGGAGCAAUGCCGGGCACGCGUGCCCGGAGGGAGAGUACCCGCAGAAUAAGCAUCGGCUAACUCCGUGCCAGCAGCCGCGGUAAUACGGAGGAUGCGAGCGUUAUCCGGAUUUAUUGGGUUUAAAGGGUGCGUAGGCUGAGUGUCAAGUCAGCGGUAAAAAUUCCGGGCUCAACCCGGUCGUGCCGUUGAAACUGGCG
rnacentral:rRNA from 1 species